CAGUGUAGUGGGAUGGGUUUUUCCCCAUUGUUUUUUUACUGCCCCGUUAUGGAUGAGAGAUUGGGAUCAUUGGUGCUUGUGUAAUUAAACGCUCAGUUGUUGCUGUAACCGUUACCGUGGAAUCUCCCGUGAGUUGCGUCGAGCACUCGCUGAAAGCUUUUAGAUAUGAAGGCUAUUGAGAUGCUGUGUUACUUUGUUGGGUUUUCUUGUUGUUCUUAUUUUGAAUCAUUGUUUAUUGUUGUGUGUUUUUAAUGAAAUACACAUGAAGGCAUUCUAACAUCCUGAUGUUCAUUUAUCUUUGGAUUUUGGAGUAUUUAUGAUUAGAUAUUGUGACUUUCUAUUUGUGACUUUCUAUUAUUUGAUAUGAGAGGUUUUUUUAAUAAUUAUGUUUUGUUUUGCAGUCAUUCAUGGUUCGUUCGGCGGUUAACUGUGGGUCGUGCUGCUGUUUUUAAAAAAUUUUUUGUCUAAUUAUAUUAUGAUUGUGUUUUCCUUUGUUUAUUACCUGUUUUGAGGUUUUUGUUUUGAUUUUCUGGAGUUUUGACUUUGCUUAUGUUUAUGACUUCAUCUCUUUGCCUUGCCAUGUUUGUGCUGUUUGUCUCAUCACCUGACUUCUUCCUGCUGAUGAUUAUUGUCUUCUGCCUUAUCCUCUGGACAUGUUGUUUGAUUAAACUGCCAUACCUGCACUUG